UGGGGUUUUGGCUCAGUGGUAGAGCACUUGCCUAGCAUGUGUGAGGUGCUGGGUUCAGUUCCCAGCACCACAU
rnacentral:tRNA from 1 species